rnacentral:rRNA from 1 species
CUCCGGCUAACUCCGUGCCAGCAGCCGCGGUAAUACGGAGGGAGCUAGCGUUAUUCGGAAUUACUGGGCGUAAAGCGCACGUAGGCGGCUUUGUAAGUUUGGGACUGAGAUACGGCCCAGACUCCUACGGGAGGCAGCAGUGGGGAAUAUUGGACAAUGGGCGAAAGCCUGAUCCAGCAAUGCCGCGUGAGUGAUGAAGGCCUUAGGGUUGUAAAGCUCUUUUACCCGGGAUGAUAAUGACAGUACCGGGAGAAUAAGCUCCGGCUAACUCCGUGCCAGCAGCCGCGGUAAUACGGAGGGAGCUAGCGUUAUUCGGAAUUACUGGGCGUAAAGCGCACGUAGGCGGCUUUGUAAGUU